rnacentral:rRNA from 1 species
UACGUAGGGGGCAAGCGUUGUCCGGAUUUAUUGGGCGUAAAGAGCUCGUAGGCGGUUUGGUAAGUCGGAUGUGAAAUCUCCAGGCUCAACCUGGAGGGGUCAUUCGAUACUGCCAUGACUAGAGUUCGGUAGGGGAGUGUGGAAUUCCUGGUGGAGCGGUGAAAUGCGCAGAGAUCAGGAGGAACACCCGUAGCGAAGGCGGCACUCUGGGCCGAUACUGACGCUGAGGAGCGAAAGCGUGGGGAGCGAACAGGA